UACGGAGGGGGCGAGCGUUAUUCGGAAUUACUGGGCGUAAAGCGUGCGCAGGCGGUUUCUUAAGUCAGAUGUGAAAGCCCCGGGCUUAACCUGGGAACUGCGUUUGAAACUGGGAGACUUGAGUGUGGCAGAGGGGGGUGGAAUUCCACGUGUAGCAGUGAAAUGCGUAGAUAUGUGGAGGAACACCGAUGGCGAAGGCAGCCCCCUGGGUUAACACUGACGCUCAUGCACGAAAGCGUGGGGAGCAAACAGG
rnacentral:rRNA from 1 species